GUACACUCCUACGGGAGGCAGCAGUGGGGAAUAUUGGACAAUGGGCGCAAGCCUGAUCCAGCCAUGCCGCGUGAGUGAUGAAGGCCCUAGGGUUGUAAAGCUCUUUCACCGGUGAAGAUAAUGACGGUAACCGGAGAAGAAGCCCCGGCUAACUUCGUGCCAGCAGCCGCGGUAAUACGAAGGGGGCUAGCGUUGUUCGGAUUUACUGGGCGUAAAGCGCACGUAGGCGGACUAUUAAGUCAGGGGUGAAAUCCCGGGGCUCAACCCCGGAACUGCCUUUGAUACUGGUAGUCUUGAGUUCGAGAGAGGUGAGUGGAAUUCCGAGUGUAGAGGUGAAAUUCGUAGAUAUUCGGAGGAACACCAGUGGCGAAGGCGGCUCACUGGCUCGAUACUGACGCUGAGGUGCGAAAGCGUGGGGAGCAAACAGGAUUAGAUACCCGUGUAGUCCCAUGA
rnacentral:rRNA from 1 species